rnacentral:rRNA from 1 species
ACUCAAAUGAAUUGACGGGGGCCCGCACAAGCGGAGGAGCAUGUGGUUUAAUUCGAUGAUACGCGAGGAACCUUACCCGGGCUUGAAAGUUAGUGACUUCCCGAGAAAUCGGGAUUCCCGCAAGGGCACGAAACUAGGUGCUGCAUGGCUGUCGUCAGCUCGUGCCGUGAGGUGUUGGGUUAAGUCCCGUAACGAGCGCAACCCCUAUCAUUAGUUGCCAUCAGGUUAAGCUGGGGACUCUAAUGAGACUGCCCGCGCAAGCGGUGAGGAAGGUGGGGAUGACGUCAAGUCAGCACGGCCCUUACGUCCGGGGCUACACACGUGCUACAAUGGACGGUACAGAAGGACGCUACCUGGUGACAGGAUGCAAAUCCCAAAAACCGUUCUCAGUUCGGAUUGAAGUCUGCAACUCGACUUCAUGAAGCUGGAUUCGCUAGUAAUCGCGUAUCAGCAAUGACGCGGUGAAUACGUUCCCGGGCCUUGCACACACCGCCCGU